CCUGCGGAAGGAUCAUUAUUGAAAACAAGGGUGUCCAAUUUAACUUGGAACCCAAACUUCUCAAUUCUAACUUUGUGCAUCUGUAUUAAUGGCGAGCAACUUCGGUUGUGAGCCUUCACUUACAAAACACUAGUCUAUGAAUGUAAAAUUUUUAUAACAAAUAAAAACUUUCAACAACGGAUCUCUUGGCUCUCGCAUCGAUGAAGAACGCAGCGAAAUGCGAUACGUAAUGUGAAUUGCAGAAUUCAGUGAAUCAUCGAAUCUUUGAACGCAUCUUGCGCUCUCUGGUAUUCCGGAGAGCAUGUCUGUUUGAGUGUCAUGAAUUCUUCAACCCAAUCUUUUCUUGUAAUCGAUUGGUGUUUGGAUUCUGAGCGUUGCUGGCUUUAUUGCUCAGCUCGUUCGUAAUACAUUAGCAUCCCUAAUACAAGUUUGGAUUGACUUGGCGUAAUAGACUAUUCGCUAAGGAUUCGGUGGAAACAUCGAGCCAACUUCAUUAAGGAAGCUCCUAAUUUAAAAGUCUACCUUUUGAUUAGAUCUCAAAUCAGGCAGGAUUACCCGCUGAACUUAAGCAUAUCAAUAAGCGGAGGAA
rnacentral:rRNA from 1 species